GACGAACGCUGGCGGCGUGCCUAAUACAUGCAAGUAGAACGCUGAAGGAGGAGCUUGCUUCUCUGGAUGAGUUGCGAACGGGUGAGUAACGCGUAGGUAACCUGCCUGGUAGCGGGGGAUAACUAUUGGAAACGAUAGCUAAUACCGCAUAAGAGUAGAUGUUGCAUGACAUUUGCUUAAAAGGUGCAAUUGCAUCACUACCAGAUGGACCUGCGUUGUAUUAGCUAGUUGGUGGGGUAACGGCUUACCAAGGCGACGAUACAUAGCCGACCUGAGAGGGUGAUCGGCCACACUGGGACUGAGACACGGCCCAGACUCCUACGGGAGGCAGCAGGAGGGAAUCUUCGGCAAUGGACGGAAAUCUGACCGAGCAACGCCGCGUGAGUGAAGAAGGUUUUCGGAUCGUAAAGCUCUGUUGUAAGAGAAGAACGAGUGUGAGAGUGGAAAGUUCACACUGUGACGGUAUCUUACCAGAAAGGGACGGCUAACUACGUG
rnacentral:rRNA from 1 species